AAAAAUUUAGUUAAAAUUAUAACAUUAGUUUGUCAGACUAAAAUUAUUAAAUUUAUUGAUAAUUUUUA
rnacentral:tRNA from 1 species